rnacentral:lncRNA from 1 species
CAAUUCAGCCAUUUUCCUUUCUGUUUUCUUUUUUUUUUCCCCUUUAAUUCCUUUGGUGGGGUACUUUGCUGACAGCUGCCUUAAGCUGUUCAUUCAGUGAACAGGCUCUCAGUGUUUUAUGGGCUUUGUCUUCUGCUGUGGUUAACUUUCCUUCAUGGCAUGACAGGUAGGGCUUUUUAAACACGUAUUCUUCAAUUCAGUCAAGCUGAUGGCUCGAGCGACUGGUCACACAAUCAAUUAAAAGCCAAGAGCACCAAGUGUGCAAAGCUCAGACUCAACAGACCCUUCUUUUGGUGUCAAAUCUGACUGCUGUAAAUCCUUCAACCCCGAUCAGCGCUGCUGCUGAAGACUCCUUCGAACAUCGCAAUGGUUGAAAAGCGAGCGGUAAAUGCGUACCUCCAGCGCAUGCGUAUGCACACAGCAACCCCCACUCCCCCACCCCCCAAAAAGAAUCAAAACUCAAGAAAGCCUUACAUUUGCUGGCGGUGGAAUACCUAGAACUAUUAUUUUUUAAUUGUAUGACUUUUGGAUAGUGUUGAAGGUGAAGGAUGUGUUCUUUUCAGGCCCGGUGUGGUCAGCCAGAAGAAUGAUCAACCUUUUGUACUAUAAUGAACUAAAGGGGACUCGGAAAUGCAACAUGAUGGUAGACAUGGGUGUAAUCACAGAGCUGCCCUGUAGUGUAGUUUGCCGAAGCUGAUUCGAUCGAAUGUCAGUCUGCGUGAUUUAAAUCUUCCAGUGCUAUGUGGUCAAAAUUAAUCUAGUCCUUGAAAGCUGAUGCUAUUCACCUAGAGGAAGAUGCUCCAGUGCUAUAGGGAUGCCCAGGUCAUGGAUAUAUGCUGUUGAAGUUUUGAGGCUCUGGGGGAGGGAGGAAAUCUCCUUCCUUCAGUGGGUCUGCCCAUCUGGCAGCUUCUGCCUCCACAGAAGUGCCAACAUGGCAAGGUAAAAACAGUAAAAAACAGUAUUACAAAACCACUUCGUAUACCAACAUUGAACUCUUCAAACAGUGCUUUUGUAAGCAAAGAAGAAAAUAAAAGCUCCUAGGUUUAGUUUUAAGCUUUAAUAAGUAAUAAUUUUCUGUAUCUUUAAGUCAAAGUAACCCUAACUUGUAUGACUGCAGUGUUUUUAUUUUUUAUCUUAUGCACAUGUUAUGUUGGAGAAAAUGUUUACAAAAAUGGUUUUGUUACACUAAUGUGCAUCACAUAUUUAUGGUUUAUUUGAAAGUGAUUUUUGUGGGUUUUUUAGUUUUUCAUAGUAGUAAUAGUACACUUUUUGUGAUUUAUAACCCCAAACUCUGCUGAUUAUAAAAAUGCUAAACAAUAAUACAAAAUGACAAACUGCAUUAAAAUUACUAAUUGUAGAGCUGCAAAGCAGACUGGUGACAAGUAAAACACUCAGCCUUUUUUUUGCAGUGCUAUCUAACUUGUCUUCUGUGUAUUAUGGAAAUUACUGUUUUUCCCCCGUUUUUCCUUAAAUAAAGUCAAAUUGACACCU